CCACCGGGCACGCGCCGCGCCCGCUGGGACGUCUUGAGCCCAGCCCGGCGUCCCGGGCCACCCCGGCCAGGCGCUGGGAAAGGGCUGCCAUCCGUCUUUCGGGUCCGCUGAGUGGUCGGCCGGAUUCAUCCUCAGAGACGUUCCCCAAGGGAAAGUCGACGAGGCUAAAACAGCACAGAUGUUGCACAUCAGUACCUACAGGGUCAGAGUGUCCGCUGGGUCAGUGUGCAAAUGCCAAGAAGUCCACUCUGGGUGAUGGUGACACCUUCCCUCCGGGGCCACCCAGGCAAGCCUCCAGUGCUGUCCGAGGUCCUAAAAUGUGGCCCCUCCAUCCCCCAAAGAGCUGCAGGGAGCCCCACCCUGGCCUCCUCUCUCAGAUGCGUGUCCAGGGACCGAGCCAGGGUUCUCCUGGGCCAGGCUUUGCAGAGGGCUGGCCUGAGCAGCUGGGGGUCAGAGGGAGAAUGGGGGGGUCAGAGGGAGAAUGGGGGGGACAAGGAUUGGUGGCAACAGAAAUGCUAUUUAUGACAGUUUUGAAAAGGCCUGGGGUCUGGAAGAGCAGCCGCCAUUGCUGCUUCUCCUUUACUAACACAGCCUGCCGCUUUUUACAAAUGUGUUGGUAAGUGAGAAACCACCAAUGAAAAAUCAAUAAAAAUGAGGAAAUACAUUGUCCUGUCUUUGUG
rnacentral:lncRNA from 1 species